AUACGUAGGGUGCGAGCGUUGUCCGGAAUUACUGGGCGUAAAGAGCUCGUAGGUGGUUUGUCGCGUCGUCUGUGAAAUUCCGGGGCUUAACUCCGGGCGUGCAGGCGAUACGGGCAUAACUUGAGUACUGUAGGGGAGACUGGAAUUCCUGGUGUAGCGGUGAAAUGCGCAGAUAUCAGGAGGAACACCGGGGCGAAGGCGGGUCUCUGGACAGUAACUGACGCUGAGGAGCGAAAGCAUGGGUAGCGAACAGGAUUAGAUACCCUGGUAGUCCAUGCCGUAAACGGUGGGCGCUAGGUGUAGGGGUCUUCCACGACUUCUGUGCCGUAGCUAGCGCAUUAAGCGCCCCGCCUGGGGAGUACGGCCGCAAGGCUAAAACUCAAAGGAAUUGACGGGG
rnacentral:rRNA from 1 species